rnacentral:rRNA from 1 species
CAAUAGCGUAUAUUAAAGUUGUUGCGGUUAAAAAGCUCGUAGUUGGAUUUCUGCCGAGGACGACCGGUCCGCCCUCUGGGUGAGUAUCUGGCUCGGCCUGGGCAUCUUCUUGGAGAACGUAGCUGCACUUGACUGUGUGGUGCGGUAUCCAGGACUUUUACUUUGAGGAAAUUAGAGUGUUUCAAGCAGGCUUACGCCUUGAAUACAUUAGCAUGGAAUAAUAAGAUAGGACCUCGGUUCUAUUUUGUUGGUUUCUAGAGCUGAGGUAAUGAUUAAUAGGGAUAGUUGGGGGCAUUCGUAUUUAACUGUCAGAGGUGAAAUUCUUGGAUUUGUUAAAGACGGACUACUGCGAAAACAUUUGCCAAGGAUGUUUUCAUUGA